ensembl:lncRNA
ACCACAAUGCACUAUGACUUCUUAUGUAAACAAAAUUUGUUUUAGACUUAUAUAAGCUUUGGUGUUAGAGCUUUUAUUUCAGAGUUAAAAAUGAACUCUGUAGUAAAACAACUUGACUUCUGAAACAGCUCUUUUCAUCUUUACCCUAGCUGUCAAAGUACAGAAAUCUUUAACAAAGCACAGCUCAGUUCAGCACAGACAAUGUAAAUACUCAGAUAAGGCUCUAUGGGGCACAAAAUGUGUAAAUAUUAUGGAGAAGGGCAGUUUAUUACAGAACCUGGAUGAACACACUAUUGUGUUUCUCAGAUUUUAGUUAAUGUGACAAAAUACUUGAAGUAAUCUGUAUAAAAGUUCAGCAGCUGGGCAUGGUAGUGCAUUCCUGUAAUCCCAGCACUCAGGAGGCUGAGGCAAGAUGAACUCACUGUGAGUUCCAGGUCAACCUGGACUACAUAGUGAGUUCAAGGCCAGCCUGAAUUGCAUAGCAAGCCCAGUCUCACAGUCAGUCAGUAAAUGGUUCAGCAUCUCCACAAACUAUGAGCCUAGUCUUCAUUACAUGGGUCUUCAGGGGACAUUCACAAUCUAAACUAGGGUUAAGGAUGUAGCUCAGUGGUAGACUGCUUGCCUCCCAUGCACAAGGGUGUUCUCUCCCUAGCACCAAGGAGUGAGGGUUUAGAUCCAAAAUUCCAGCAACUCCAGAACAUAAAGGAGUAUUCCAGAGAAACAAUGUAGCUACUAAAAUCUCAGCACUUGGAGCAUGAGGCAGGAGGAUUACAGCAAGUUCAAGGAUAGCCUGGGCUAGUGAGUUCAAGGGUAGUCUGGACUACAUACUCUGUCACAAAACAAAAACUAUCAGAUUUGUAGAUAUACAUGGAUGACCUAAUUAGCUAUUGUUUUAAAUAGGGUCUUACCAUGUGGUUCAGGCUGACCUUGAACUCACUGUGUAGCUCUUGAAGCAAUCCUGCCUCAGCCUCCUGCGUUUUGGGAUUACAGGUGUGCACACCUGCUGGGUCAAUUUUUUAACAUUAUAUAGCCUUGUGGGUUUUUUUUUCUUUUUAGACCUAUACUAGGCAUUGGACCCAGGACAGUUCCCUCUGAGCUGUCUUCCCUACCCUUUUAUUUUGAGACAGGGUCUUUUGUUUCUUUGGGUUCUUUUUUUGGUUUGAUUUGCUGUGUACUUCAGGUUGGCCUUGACCUUGCAGUGAUUCCUUGCCUCAGCCCCCGAGUGCUGGGCUUGUAGAUGUGCACUAUCACACCCAGCCUGUUCAUAGGAUUUUAACAUACCAAAUCCAGUCAUUAAUUUGUGAUUUUUUUUUUUUUUACAAACUUUAUCAUAACAUGCCUUCACAUUGCUACCCAAUGAAUGCAGCAGAUAAUGUUUUUGGAAUAACCACUAUGCACCCACACACACCCUCCAAAUUAAACCAGUUAUUCCUUAGUAUUCAAACUUCUUUGUGUGGUGGUGGGGACAGGAACCAGUCUCACUCCUACUAGGCAACCAUUCUACCGCGGAGCUAUACUGCCAGCCCCAAUUUUGUAUUUUUUCAAACUUCAUUCUUGCCUUGACAUUGGUCUCAAACUGCAGUGUAGGUCGGCCUAUGAAAGUACAUUAGUUUCAAAAUGAGGGAAAGGAAGCCGAAGAGGACUGAACCACUUGAUUUACUCACUGCUUACACCCUAAAAUGGUUUUGAUGUACUAUUAUUUCA